rnacentral:rRNA from 1 species
UACGGAGGGUGCGAGCGUUGUCCGGAGUCAUUGGGCGUAAAGGGCGCGUAGGUGGCUUCUUAAGCGUGCGGUGAAAGCCUGGGGCUCAACCCCGGGUCGGCCGUGCGAACUGGGGGGCUGGAGCACUGUAGAGGCAGGCGGAAUUCCGGGUGUAGCGGUGGAAUGCGUAGAGAUCCGGAAGAACACCGGUGGCGAAGGCGGCCUGCUGGGCAGUUGCUGACACUGAGGCGCGACAGCGUGGGGAGCAAACAGG